rnacentral:rRNA from 1 species
AAUAGAUACCCCGGUAGUCCACGCCGUAAACGAUGUCGACUUGGAGGUUGUGCCCCUUGAGGCGUGGCUUCCGGAGCUAACGCGUUAAGUCGACCGCCUGGGGAGUACGGCCGCAAGGUUAAAACUCAAAUGAAUUGACGGGGGCCCGCACAAGCGGUGGAGCAUGUGGUUUAAUUCGAUGCAACGCGAAGAACCUUACCUGGUCUUGACAUCCACAGAAGUUUUCAGAGAUGAGAAUGUGCCUUCGGGAACUGUGAGACAAGUGCUGCAUGGCUGUCGUCAGCUCGUGUUGUGAAUGUUGGGUUAAGUCCCGCAACGAGCGCAACCCCUGUUGCUAGUUACAAGUGUCUAGCAAGACUGCCGACAUCAAGUUGGAGGAAGGUGGGGAUGAUGUCAAGUCAGCAUGGCCUUUAUUAUCUGGGGCGACACACACGCUACAAUGGGCGAUACAAUGGGCAGCGGAAGGGGUGGACCUGGAGCGAAUCUCAUCAAAGUCGUUCGUAGUUCGGAUUGUAGGCUGCCG